rnacentral:rRNA from 1 species
AUUGAACGCUGGCGGCAGGCCUAACACAUGCAAGUCGAACGGUAGCACAGAGAGCUUGCUCUCGGGUGACGAGUGGCGGACGGGUGAGUAAUGUCUGGGAAACUGCCCGAUGGAGGGGGAUAACUUCUGGAAACGGUAGCUAAUACCGCAUAACGUCGCAAGACCAAAGUGGGGGACCUUCGGGCCUCACACCAUCGGAUGUGCCCAGAUGGGAUUAGCUAGUAGGUGGGGUAAUGGCUCACCUAGGCGACGAUCCCUAGCUGGUCUGAGAGGAUGACCAGCCACACUGGAACUGAGACACGGUCCAGACUCCUACGGGAGGCAGCAGUGGGGAAUAUUGCACAAUGGGCGCAAGCCUGAUGCAGCCAUGCCGCGUGUAUGAAGAAGGCCUUCGGGUUGUAAAGUACUUUCAGCGGGGAGGAAGGCGGUGAGGUUAAUAACCUUGCCGAUUGACGUUACCCGCAGAAGAAGCACCGGCUAACUCCGUGCCAGCCGCCGCAGUAA